AAUCAACGCUGGCGGCGUGCCUCAGACAUGCAGGUCGAACGCGAAAGUUCCCUUCGGGGAGUAAGUAGCGUGGCGCACGGGUGAGUAACACGUAGGUAAUUUGCCUUCGGGUGGGGAAUAACAGUCGGAAACGACUGCUAAUACCGCAUAAUGCAGCGGCUCGACAUCGAGACAGUUGUUAAAGCGGGGGAUCCUUCGGGACCUCGCGCCUGAAGAGAAGCCUGCGGCAGAUUAGCUAGUUGGUGAGGUAAUGGCCCACCAAGGCUACGAUCUGUAACCGGCCUGAGAGGGCGGUCGGUCACACUGACACUGACAUACGGGUCAGACUCCUACGGGAGGCAGCAGUCGGGAAUUUUGGGCAAUGGGCGCAAG
rnacentral:rRNA from 1 species